CAACUGACAAUUCCUUCCGACCCUUACUAGAUUCACGACAGACUACACUUCCUUCUUCGUAAUCUUGAUGAAUACCUUCAAUGAUCCACGACCUGGCGACACUUCCUUCUCUGCGUAGAAUCCUGGCGAACGGCUAUAAUUGUACAUCGCUGGAGAUCUCUUGCACACUUGCCUCCAUUAAUCUGCAAAUUUGUUAAUAAAUCGCAAUACCUGGGACUCGAACCCCAGACCUUUUGGUGUAGAAGCAUUAAUCAACCUUUGGUCAACCAAUGGGCCAAGGGGCUUCCACAUAUUCGAUUUUUAAUUUUGUUUUUUUUUUUUUUUGGUCGUCUUAGAUUUAUUAUUAAUUGCAUAUUAUGAGAACUGUUACAUAGACGAUUCUACAACUGACAAUUCCUUCCGACCCUUACUAGAUCCACGGCAGACUACACUUCAUUCUUCGUGAUCUUGAUGAAUACCUUCAAUGAUCCACGACCUGGCGACACUUCCUUCUCUGCGUAGAAUCUUGGCAAACGGCUAUAAUUGUACAUCGUUGGAGAUCUCUUGCACAUUUGCCUCCAUUAAUCUGCAAAUUUGUAAAUAAAUCGCAAUAUCUGGGACUCGAACCCCAGACCUCUUGGUGUAGAAGCAUUAAUCAACCCUUGGUCAACCAAUGGGCCAAGGGCCUUCCAC
rnacentral:lncRNA from 1 species